UACGGAGGGGACUAGCGUUGUUCGGAAUUACUGGGCGUAAAGCGCACGUAGGCGGAUUUGUAAGUCAGGGGUGAAAUCCCGGGGCUCAACCUCGGAACUGCCUUUGAUACUGCAAGUCUCGAGUCCGAUAGAGGUGAGUGGAAUUCCUAGUGUAGAGGUGAAAUUCGUAGAUAUUAGGAAGAACACCAGUGGCGAAGGCGGCUCACUGGAUCGGUACUGACGCUGAGGUGCGAAAGCGUGGGGAGCAAACAGGG
rnacentral:rRNA from 1 species